rnacentral:rRNA from 1 species
UACGAAGGGGGCUAGCGUUGUUCGGAUUUACUGGGCGUAAAGCGCACGUAGGCGGGUUGUUAAGUCAGGGGUGAAAUCCUGGAGCUCAACUCCAGAACUGCCUUUGAUACUGGCAACCUAGAGGCUGGAAGAGGUUAGUGGAAUUCCCAGUGUAGAGGUGGAAUUCGUAGAUAUUGGGAAGAACACCAGUGGCGAAGGCGGCUAACUGGUCCAGAUCUGACGCUGAGGCACGAAAGCGUGGGGAGCAAACAGG